UACGUAGGGCGCAAGCGUUGUCCGGAAUUAUUGGGCGUAAAGAGCUCGUAGGCGGUCUGUCGCGUCAGCUGUGAAAACCUGGGGCUCAACCCCGGGCCUGCAGCCGAUACGGGCAGACUAGAAUUCGGUAGGGGAGACUGGAAUUCCUGGUGUAGCGGUGAAAUGCGCAGAUAUCAGGAGGAACACCGGUGGCGAAGGCGGGUCUCUGGGCCGAUAUUGACGCUGAGGAGCGAAAGCGUGGGGAGCAAACAGG
rnacentral:rRNA from 1 species